rnacentral:rRNA from 1 species
UCGCUACUACCGAUUGAAUGGCUUAGUGAGCUCCAUGAACUGUGGGUAUGUGGGGGGUCUCCUCUACUACUUUCGGGAAGUGGAUCAAACUUGAUCAUUUAGAGGAAGUAA